UAUCUGGAAAUCAAUUUAGCGGAAGAGACUUUGACCUAUUGACUGAAGUGAUGACUCAGCUGGUGUUGAAAUUAUCUUGACUUCAGAUUUAGAAGGUAAAUAGAAGGUAAGUUAUUACAUUAUUUCUGGUUAAAUGUUUUCCAAGGGAAUGGAAGUCAAUGCAGAAAAUUGUAUCCAUCUGUUCUGCUGGUUUCUGUCAUCAACUUUUGAUAUCUUCAAAACAAGCGCAAAAUGCAAUAAAACGGCAAAUAGUAGCAUUGGCUACCUGAACAGACGGAGAUGGGAAUGCUGCUGGAACUCCACAGAUGGCAGGAAGGCAGCUGCACACACCCAGCAACAGAAAUUGUUCAAUACUAUUGCACCGCUCACUAGCUAAGACUCGUGUGUCCAUCUUGCCUGAUGGGAGGACAACCCAACUAGCCACAGGAAGCCAGGGGGACGCUGGGCAGAUCAUGG